GACGAACGCUGGCGGCGUGCUUAACACAUGCAAGUCGAACGGUAAGGCUCCAGCUUGCUGGGGUACACGAGUGGCGAACGGGUGAGUAACACGUGGGUGACCUGCCCUGCACUUCGGGAUAAGCCUGGGAAACUGGGUCUAAUACCGGAUAGGACCGCACCGUGAGGGUGUGAUGGAAAGUUUUUUCGGUGUGGGAUGGGCCCGCGGCCUAUCAGCUUGUUGGUGGGGUAAUGGCCUACCAAGGCGGCGACGGGUAGCCGGCCUGAGAGGGUGGACGGCCACAUUGGGACUGAGACACGGCCCAGACUCCUACGGGAGGCAGCAGUGGGGAAUAUUGCACAAUGGGCGGAAGCCUGAUGCAGCGACGCCGCGUGGGGGAUGACGGCCUUCGGGUUGUAAACUCCUUUCACCAUCGACGAAGGGUUUCUGACGGUAGAUGGAGAAGAAGCACCGGCUAACUACGUGCCAGCAGCCGCGGUAAUACGUAGGGUGCGAGCGUUGUCCGGAAUUACUGGGCGUAAAGAGCUCGUAGGUGGUUUGUCGCGUCGUCUGUGAAAUUCCGGGGCUUAACUCCGGGCGUGCAGGCGAUACGGGCAUAACUUGAGUACUGUAGGGGAGACUGGAAUUCCUGGUGUAGCGGUGAAAUGCGCAGAUAUCAGGAGGAACACCGGUGGCGAAGGCGGGUCUCUGGGCAGUAACUGACGCUGAGGAGCGAAAGCAUGGGGAGCGAACAGGAUUAGAUACCCUGGUAGUCCAUGCCGUAAACGGUGGGCGCUAGGUGUGGGUUUCCUUCCACGGGAUCCGUGCCGUAGCUAACGCAUUAAGCGCUCCGCCUGGGGAGUACGGCCGCAAGGCUAAAACUCAAAGGAAUUGACGGGGGCCCGCACAAGCGGCGGAGCAUGUGGAUUAAUUCGAUGCAACGCGAAGAACCUUACCUGGGCUUGACAUAUACAGGAUCGCGCCAGAGAUGGUGUUUCCCUUGUGGCUUGUAUACAGGUGGUGCAUGGUUGUCGUCAGCUCGUGUCGUGAGAUGUUGGGUUAAGUCCCGCAACGAGCGCAACCCUUGUCUUAUGUUGCCAGCACGUUGUGGUGGGGACUCGUAAGAAACUGCCGGGGUUAACUCGGAGGAAGGUGGGGAUGACGUCAAAUCAUCAUGCCCCUUAUGUCCAGGGCUUCACACAUGCUACAAUGGUCGGUACAGUGGGUUGCCAGUCCGUGAGGGCGAGCUAAUCCCGCAAAGCCGGUCUCAGUUCGGAUCGGGGUCUGCAACUCGACCCCGUGAAGUCGGAGUCGCUAGUAAUCGCAGAUCAGCAACGCUGCGGUGAAUACGUUCCCGGGCCU
rnacentral:rRNA from 1 species